rnacentral:rRNA from 1 species
UACAGAGGUCUCAAGCGUUGUUCGGAUUCAUUGGGCGUAAAGGGUGCGUAGGCGGCGCGGUAAGUCGGGUGUGAAAUCUCGGAGCUUAACUCCGAAACUGCAUUCGAUACUGCCGUGCUUGAGGACUGGAGAGGAGACUGGAAUUUACGGUGUAGCGGUGAAAUGCGUAGAUAAUCGUAAGGAAGACCAGUGGCGGAAGGCGGGGUCUCUGGACAGUUCCUGACGCUGAGGCACGAAGGCCAGGGGAGCAAACGGG